AAGCUGUGCUAAUACCGCAUACGAUCUACGGAUGAAAGCAGGGGAUCGCAAGACCUUGCGCGAAUGGAGCGGCCGAUGGCAGAUUAGGUAGUUGGUGAGGUAAAGGCUCACCAAGCCUUCGAUCUGUAGCUGGUCUGAGAGGACGACCAGCCACACUGGGACUGAGACACGGCCCAGACUCCUACGGGAGGCAGCAGUGGGGAAUUUUGGACAAUGGGCGAAAGCCUGAUCCAGCCAUGCCGCGUGCAGGAUGAAGGCCUGCGGGCUGUUAACUGCUUUUGUACGGAACGAAAAGGCCUUUUCUAAUAAAGAGGGCUAAUGACGGUACCGUAAGAAUAAGCACCGGCUAACUACGUGCCAGCAGCCGCGGUAAUACGUAGGGGGCAAGCGUUAAUCGGAAUUACUGGGCGUAAAGCGUGCGCAGGCGGUUAUGUAAGACAGUUGUGAAAUCCCCGGGCUCAACCUGGGAACUGCAUCUGUGACUGCAUAGCUAGAGUACGGUAGAGGGGGAUGGAAUUCCGCGUGUAGCAGUGAAAUGCGUAGAUAUGCGGAG
rnacentral:rRNA from 1 species